AGUGAACGCUGGCGGUAGGCCUAACACAUGCAAGUCGAACGGCAGCACAGUAAGAGCUUGCUCUUACGGGUGGCGAGUGGCGGACGGGUGAGGAAUACAUCGGAAUCUACUUUUUCGUGGGGGAUAACGUAGGGAAACUUACGCUAAUACCGCAUACGACCUACGGGUGAAAGCAGGGGAUCUUCGGACCUUGCGCGAUUGAAUGAGCCGAUGUCGGAUUAGCUGGUUGGCGGGGUAAAGGCCCACCAAGGCGACGAUCCGUAGCUGGUCUGAGAGGAUGAUCAGCCACACUGGAACUGAGACACGGUCCAGACUCCUACGGGAGGCAGCAGUGGGGAAUAUUGGACAAUGGGCGCAAGCCUGAUCCAGCCAUACCGCGUGGGUGAAGAAGGCCUUCGGGUUGUAAAGCCCUUUUGUUGGAAAAGAAAAGCAGCAGGUUAAUACCCCGCUGUUCUGACGGUACCCAAAGAAUAAGCACCGGCUAACUUCGUG
rnacentral:rRNA from 1 species